AGUGCUCAGCAGGGCGAGGACAGGACAGAACGGGCCCCAUCACAGACUGCGCUUAGAAGGAACUCAGUAAAACAAAGACCAUUUUCUUCUGGAGGCAACUCAAGGAGGUAAGACUGUGAGUCAAGCGCCUUGGAGGAUAAGAAGUCCAGAAAAACAUGGAAACAAUGAACAGACGCAAGCACGCAGAGCCGCACGCCCUGACGGUGCACCCCGAGCCAGGUGGCACCCAGCAGCCAGGAAACCCAUG
rnacentral:lncRNA from 1 species